rnacentral:tRNA from 1 species
GGAGGUCAUGGGUCAGUGGUACGACAUCUGCUGGGUAUGCAGAAGGUCCCAGGUUCAAUCCCCAGGAUCUCUA